rnacentral:rRNA from 1 species
GCGACCCCAGGUCAGGCGGGACUACCCGCUGAGUUUAAGCAUAUCAAAAAGCCGGAAGGAA